rnacentral:rRNA from 1 species
AGCGAACGCUGGCGGCAGGCUUAACACAUGCCAGUCGAGCGGGCAUCUUCGGAUGUCAGCGGCAGACGGGUGAGUAACACGUGGGAACGUACCCUUCGGUUCGGAACAACUCUGGGAAACUGGAGCUAAUACCGGAUACGCCCUUAUGGGGAAAGGUUUACUGCCGAAGGAUCGGCCCGCGUCUGAUUAGCUAGUUGGUGGGGUAACGGCCUACCAAGGCGACGAUCAGUAGAUGGUCUGAGAGGAUGAUCAGCCACACUGGGACUGAGACACGGCCCAGACUCCUACGGGAGGCAGCAGUGGGGAAUAUUGGAAAACGGGGGCAAGCCUGAUCCAGCCAUGCCGGGUGAGUGAUGAAGGCCUUAGGGUUGUAAAGCUCUUUUGUCCGGGACGAUAAUGACGGUACCGGAAGAAUAAGCCCCGGCUAACUUCGUG